ensembl:lncRNA
AUUGAAUCGUGGGGUCUCCGGGGUCGUAACACCUCCUCGUCACUUAUCCAGCUGUCGCUUUCUUCACAUCGCGGUUCCUGAGAGUCAUGAGGCUCACUGGUUGUUUUUAUUUUACCCUUUUUCUUCUUCGACAGUUUGCCUCCCAUGUUGAUUAAGCGCGUUUGCAAUCAGAUGAAACACCGACUGGCGACUGCUCCGCUAAUUACAAUGAGGCGUUCAGGUGUUCCGCGAAGUCAUGUGAUUUGAAGUUGCCAGAGGACUGCUGACGUGAUUUUCUUUUCUUUUCUUUUUUUUAUUCUCUCACAUAAUCUGGCUCGUAGAAUGAUGACUUGUCGCCUACCAGAAAACGUCCGAGCAGCGCUGCACGGUCCUCGCAGUGGUCUCACUGACCACCCGGACAAAAUGGGAAUCCAGCUGAAAGUCCACGGACCCAAAGGAGAGGAGAAGAUCGUCGACCUGUGCGACAGUGACCGGGAGCUGAGGAAGAUCACGGUGACACAGCUGAUGGAUAAACUGUCUCAUGAACCGAAUAUGACUGAAGAGAUACGGAUAAGAAGUUACCCGGAGGCAUCUGCUGGGGACCAGAGGCAGUAGGAAAAACACCCACGGAGCCUAAACACGCCGCAGUUACACCAAUAAUGAUUAUAAACAACUAAAUUAUAAAUAUUUAAUGCUAUACUGUGAUAACAAAUAAAAUGCACUGAACGUACAGAUGUCAUCUUGUUUUGUUAAUAAGUGGUGAUUGCCUGUCAAAACCGUUCUCAGAGGAAAAUAAAAGCCCCAGAACACUGUUUGAAGCUAGAAAGGUGGCAGGGUCCGCCACACACAAAAUAUAACUUGAAAGCAGGCUCCACUAAGCUAGGCAGCAGUGGAAGUAACUAAUACAGCGUCUCAAAUUUCUUGCAAUCUUACUAAAUUAGCACUUAAUCUACUUAAUCACUUUUGAAAUCAUACUUGAAGAUUUGGAGUAACAAAACCACUUUGAUUGAAUGCCCACUAUUGAUAAUGUAUUAAACAUCAAUGUUUAGUGAGUAACUGAUAUUCUAGGUAACAUUCAAGAAGAACACUUCGCACUUUCACAAAAGUUUUUUUUUUCAAUUUCAGUAGUUUUACUUGUAAUGUAAUAACACUUCUGUAAUUUAACGUUAUUUGUACAUCAAAUAUUUUCAGCACUCAUUCCAUUACUGCCAAUCCCCCUAUUUUAUCAAGGUCGGUAUGCCCUUGCUUUAGAAAUAUAAGGGUCUAACAUGAAAAGGUUGUCAUAUAAUCACACUGCUAGAUAGUUAUUUACCACAUGUUAAAUUGCAGCAAAUUGCAUUUACGGUUAAUAACUGUCAGAUGUAAUAAACUGUGUAAGUUACUUUAUUUUAUGCAAGAUGUCAUAUUUCAAAAGUUUCUACUUUGAGACUGAGAACCAGCAAGCAGUGAAGGUAAUGUAGGACGGACUGUGAGUUUUAUUGUUUAAUGGGAGGGCGACUCUACACUGUGUGCUCGACUCUAGCACUACUGGACUCGCAUUGGGUGUCGAGUGCUGCUCCUGUGCAAGUAGUGCCAGACAAAGUUCUCUGAAAAAUUCAACGGGGAAAACUUAACAGGGUAGGCUAACAUCAAAUGUGCUUUUCUUCUUUCUCAAAAUUAGAAGUAACUUUGUCUAGUCCUUACAUUUUGAAUGUUGAAUGCUAUCUUGCAGCAGUGAUCGUAAACAUAAAACGGGUCUAACUCCAUAUCUUAUUUGGCAAAGCUAUGAGUGAGAUCAAGACACUGAGAGGAAGCCACAUCCUCCAUUAAACCUGACUGAUUUCAUUGAAGAAGUCUGUGAGUAUUAGCAGAUUGUUCUCUUUAUUUCUGUCCAACUAAAGUACCGUCAGUCCUGCGGUAUUAAAGGCAUUAAAUUGAUUUUGAAUCUGUGUAGAUAUUUCCAAUGUUGUCUUAUUGUCAGUAAUCGAUCUGAACUGUCAUUCGCCACUUGGGUAAAAAUAGGUGAAAUUCUAUACCAAGUGUAGCAAAGCAGAAUGACUAUACGGUUGUUGUGCUUAUCAACCUGUGUUUCCUCUUCAAUAAUCUACCGAACCGUCGCACAAAUGUCUAUUUUAAGGAGUACACAAUGCAACACCUCAAGCAUAAUGAGGCCAAAUGUUGUUGUUGUUGUUAUUGUUGAUAGUAACCAACAGUGUAGUAAAAAGAACAAUCAUACUUAAGUUGACAAUAAGAUAGGUCUAUUGUAAAAUAUUAGGCUAGUUUGGUAAAAGUGAGUCUCCCACACCAAUAGUAGCCUACUUAAAUAAAAGUCCUAAAGUAUCGGAAAUAUAUUGUGGCAGCCUGGCAAAGCAUGUUCUUGAAGUAAAUUAUACAUACAUUAAGGUUAUAUGAAUGUAUAUGGCCUACUUCAUAGUGGGAGUCGAGCAAUUGUCUACCUCGAAGACUACAGUAAGUGUUUAAUCAUUUGCCAAGAUCAUAUUGUUGGUUGUGAAUUUUUUCAAAUAUCUAAACGUUUCCUCUGGUGUCACGUUGAUCUGAAGCUGAGGAGUCAGCCUAAACUAGUGAACGUGUGGCGCCACCUCUUGGACUUCAGACCACAUAACAGAAGGUUUUAAGUUUGGUUGUGUCAUUCAGUAUGGACAUUUGAUCAUUUCAGUGCAAGUAUUAGUGUAAUGUCUUGCAGUCCCUGCAAAGAAAAGAAAACAUAAGCUGUUUAUGCACACAGAUUUCACAGUGAUGGAUGAUGUGUAGGAAUUAGGUUGAUGUGUAGGAAUUAGGUAUUCAGCCAGGCUGUAGUAGAUAAGGGUGCAUAAAACGUUUACUGUUUAAGAGUGUCAGAAACACAAAUCAUGACUUAAAAACCUGCAAAAUACUUAAACUGGAAGAACAGAAAAUUUUACAAGAUUGAAAUGGAAUUACAUUAUUAUGCCUAAUGAAAAAAGAUAACACAACAUUAUAUCUUCAGGGGGAGGGUCGAGAGGAAAGAUGAGCAACUCCAGGAAACGACUCCAUGAAGAAGUGGAAUCUUCAUCAGAGCGGUGGAAACAAAAAGGUAAUACAGAGUUUAGGUGAGGUAAAGAUUAUUGUAGGCUGUUUAGUAGAUAGAAAACACAAUUAAAAGUAAAAGAAGAUGGACGAUGUAUG